AUUCUAUUUAGCACUUCACCUACGCUCACAAAGAUUGGGUCACUUCGCUGGAUUUUAUUCCAAAUUCUGAUGUACUGAUCAGCGGUGACAGAAGAGGAGUUCUUAAGUUGUGGCACGUUGAUACCUGUAAACCUCUAGGAGAUAUAACUGCUCAUGGAAAGUCCAUCAAUGCGAUUAAAUGCAACUCCAAUUGCGUGUUUACUGCGUCGAGUGAUCGACUCGUUCGUAUAUGGAAACCAUCCCAAACAUUAGAUGAUCAACUAGCGGAGUUAACUUCCGAAUAGAGAACCAAUGUACUUGGUUUCCCGAUUUUCACGAAAGCGUUUCGACAAGUUUAGUUCGAUCCGUGGUCUAACGCGUGUAACUUAAAAUAAGCAAAAUCAAUAUUGAGACUUGGAAGAACAGUAAAUCUUAAACUGGAUGCAAUCUGUCCAAAUCUUUGUUGAAAUGUUGGAUAUCCAAUACCUCACAACUUUAUCUUCAUUCAAACUAUUUAUCGAACAUUCAAUUAAUGCUGGAUGGCAGUUGGAUUUUUUAGGCCUUGCUUAUGGAAAACGAAACACGAAUUCUAUAUUUUUUCGAGUGAAAUCUUACAAUAGUCGCUAAAACAAACCACCUACUUUAGUUGUACAAACUUUGCGAAGAGAAACUUUCGCGAAUUUCACGAAUUCAGGCCUCAUUCGCGAAAGUUUAUCCUCGCGAAAUGUUUCAAAUGUAGCUAUUUGCGAAAGUUUAUCCUCGCGAAAUUGUUAAAAGUAUAAUACAACACGCGAAAUACAAAGUUUGUACACCUAAAGUAUUACGUCAUUUUUUAGCCACUAGAGUUUUUUACAGGUACUUGAUUAACAAAAAUAUUCUAGCAUGUGUUUGUAUAUGAAUGAAUUUUGUUAAAACAUUUUCCAAGUUUGUUACAAAAGCUUUUAGUAUUUUGUAUAGCAACUGUGCUUAAUAAUAUGUCUGAGGCUGGUUCAAUUUUCACUGUUAAAUUUGUAUUUAUAUGUAUAUGAAAUUCUCAGGCAGA